rnacentral:lncRNA from 1 species
AGGUCUGAUGCUGCCUGACACCAGAGGCACCACACACAAGAAGCCAUACUCUAAAAAAACCUGUCCCUUUUGAGUUUCCUCAGCCUCAAGAGCAUCUGGAAGACAAGGUCAUUCCACCUGCACCUUCAAAAUUCUCUUCAGACAAUCAAAAGGAUGCCAGAACUUCUUAGAUGCAGAAGUAAGUCCUCUCUAUCUCUAAGCCCGUGGGGUUGCUGUAACCUGCUGCAUGGCUUUCCCUUUGGCACAGAUGGCUUCACAAGUGCUCGGCAAUCACAGCCACACAGUUUUUCCUUUUAAUCUGUCCCGCCCUCAGAAUCCUGGGGAUCGGUUUGGCACAUUCUUAAUAUACAACAAUUAGAGUGUUUGCUUGUCUUGCAGCCUGAAGAGUCUCACGUCUGAGCUCAACAGAUAAAAUAGUGAGGUUGGCUGUGUACUGUAGGACUGACGGCCCCAGGGGGAGCCUGCCUGAUGGUCAGAGAGAUGCUUUCCUGUGCUUUCCAGAAUGGCAGCAGGUCAGACCGACUCCUUCGAGUUGAGAGAUUGCAGCCACUUCCUAUCCAGGGAAUCCAGCCCCUCCUCCCCUUCCCAGGCGGUCGGUAGACUCUUCAUGGAAAGAUCCAUGCUCCCUGAUUACAGGAAACAGUUAUAGGAUAAUGGAGCAGCAUCCCCCAGCUCUCCAAAACGGUUCCAGGGACCAGUGUCAGGCUCAGAGAUCGGAACAUGGUGGAAAAUGAGACCUAAAAUGAGACCCAAGGGCUACAAAAUUAGCAUAUGAGAAAAACCUAGUAAAGAGGGAAGCUGGAACUGCCUUCUCUUGCAUCUGGCUGGAGCCACUGGCACAGCUGCAGAGGCACUCCAGAGUGUCUGCGGGUGACCUGCCACAUGGCCUGCAGGAGAAAGGCAGUGCUAGGCACGUGACCUCAGAGGCUUCCGUAUGGGACAUAAGUAACCCUGUCCUUUGCCGAGUGCUAGUGCCAAGCUUCCGAACAUUUCUCUGUUUGGGGUGCUUCCUCCCUGGGAGCUAUCUUCUUUCUUAAUAUAUUCUUCAACCUUAUUUUCUUCUGUUCACGUGUCUCUGUCCAAUUCCCUGUUGCAGAUACAGAAACCCAGACCCCUAGUGGGCACCCACGGAAACGCAGCAUCCGUAGGAUCAGCACUGGUCAACAGCCAAGGUACGGAACCAGUGUAGAUGCUCAUCAACAGACCAGAAGAGACCAUAUGUGUAUACACAGCAGAGUUUUAUUUAGCUGUAAAUAAUGGAAUUAUGGGUUGGGCAGUGGUGGCACGUGCAUUCAAUCCCAGCACUUGGGAGGCAGAGGCAGGCAGAUCUUUGAGUUCAAGGCCAACCUGGUCUACAGAGCGAGUUCCAGGACAGCCAGGGCCACGUAGUAAGACCCUGUCUUGAAAAUACCAAAAAGGAAAGAAAAAUAAGAGUGAAAUUAUGUCCUGUGCCGAGAAUAAGACACCUCAUUAACCACAAUAAACUAAACUCUCGAGGACAAAUCUGUCCUCUGGCAAUGCAGUAUUAGGAAUAGGGGUGAAAUGAGGAAGAAUAGUGGGGGCUUUUGUUGUUGUUGUUGUUUUGGUUUUUUGUUGUUGUUGUUUUUACAUUCAAUAAGAAACCGUUCUGAUAUAUAAAGCAAGCCUAUUAGAAUCUGACAAAAAUAUUAUCAUGGGAGAUUUUAACAUCCUCUGGAGAACUAGUAUAUCUUUGUUUUCACAGACAGAAGAUAUGGCAGAAGUACAACACUCAAGACAAAACAACUUGAACCAGACAGGGUUCCUCGUAGAGAACCAAAGCCACUCCAACCAAGUGCUUACAUCACAAAGGAAUACAGGGGCUGCUUUCAAAAUUAUUGCCAAGUCAAGAAACACUGAGGGUUCCUAAACAUAAUUUUU